rnacentral:lncRNA from 1 species
AGCUGUCGGAACAAACUGCAGGAUCUUCUUUCUCCGCUAAUACUCAAACUAAUCCAAAGGAGCAUUGCAAAGCAAUUUUUACUAGAAGCGGUAGAGAGUUGACAAGUAAAAAAGGUGAGGAAAUUACAGUUGAGAAUGAUAUGGAUGUUGUGCUGGAAAAUGAGGAUGUGGCUUGUGGGAAGAAGAAAGUGGUAGAAACUGCUCAGUUCGCGCCGCGAUCUCCCUUCGCGCCGCGAAAACAGCAGAACCAACAACUGAUGGAAGAGCAGCGGUGUGAAGCGGAAAUGAAUAAGGAAAUCGAACCAAGAAAUAAGAAAAAAGGAGACAAAGGAGUGAAUGUCAUUCCAGUUCAACAUCUACCAUAUCCGCACGCACCAUCAAAGAAGGAUAACGCUAG